GCCAGCUUAGCUCAGUUGGUAGAGCACUUGACUUGUAAUCAGGCGGUCGUCGGUUCGAAUCCGACAGCUGGCUCCA
rnacentral:tRNA from 1 species